rnacentral:rRNA from 1 species
GAUGAACGCUGGCGGCGUGCCUAAUACAUGCAAGUCGAGCGAACGGACGAGAAGCUUGCUUCUCUGAUGUUAGCGGCGGACGGGUGAGUAACACGUGGAUAACCUACCUAUAAGACUGGGAUAACUUCGGGAAACCGGAGCUAAUACCGGAUAAUAUUUUGAACCGCAUGGUUCAAAAGUGAAAGACGGUCUUGCUGUCACUUAUAGAUGGAUCCGCGCCGCAUUAGCUAGUUGGUAAGGUAACGGCUUACCAAGGCAACGAUGCAUAGCCGACCUGAGAGGGUGAUCGGCCACACUGGAACUGAGACACGGUCCAGACUCCUACGGGAGGCAGCAGUAGGGAAUCUUCCGCAAUGGGCGAAAGCCUGACGGAGCAACGCCGCGUGAGUGAUGAAGGUCUUCGGAUCGUAAAACUCUGUUAUUAGGGAAGAACAUAUGUGUAAGUAACUGCGCACAUCUUGACGGUACCUAAUCAGAAAGCCACGGCUAACUACGUG